rnacentral:rRNA from 1 species
UACGUAGGGGGCAAGCGUUGUCCGGAUUUAUUGGGCGUAAAGAGCGUGUAGGCGGCCAGACAGGUCCGUUGUGAAAACUAGAGGCUUAACCUCUAGACGUCGAUGGAAACCGUCUGGCUAGAGUCCGGAAGAGGAGAAUGAAAUUCCUGGUGUAGCGGUGAAAUGCGCAGAUAUCAGGAAGAACACCCGUGGCUAAGGCGGUUCUCUAGUACGGUACUGACGCUGAGACGCGAAAGCGUGGGGAGCGAACAGG